UACGGGGGGGGCAAGCGUUGUUCGGAAUUACUGGGCGUAAAGGGUCUGUAGGUGGCCAACUAAGUCAGACGUGAAAUCCCUCAGCUUAACUGGGGAACUGCGUCUGAUACUGGUUGGCUUGAGUGCAGGAGAGGAAUGCGGAAUUCCAGGUGUAGCGGUGAAAUGCGUAGAUAUCUGGAGGAACACCGGUGGCGAAGGCGGCAUUCUGAACUGCAACUGACACUGAAAGACGAAAGCCAGGGGAGCAAACGGG
rnacentral:rRNA from 1 species